UUGCUCCUUUGACGUUAGCGGCGGACGGGUGAGUAACACGUGGAUAACCUACCUAUAAGACUGGGAUAACUUCGGGAAACCGGAGCUAAUACCGGAUAAGAUUUUGAACCGCAUGGUUCAAUAGUGAAAGACGGCCUUGCUGUCACUUAUAGAUGGAUCCGCGCCGUAUUAGCUAGUUGGUAAGGUAACGGCUUACCAAGGCAACGAUACGUAGCCGACCUGAGAGGGUGAUCGGCCACACUGGAACUGAGACACGGUCCAGACUCCUACGGGAGGCAGCAGUAGGGAAUCUUCCGCAAUGGGCGAAAGCCUGACGGAGCAACGCCGCGUGAGUGAUGAAGGUCUUCGGAUCGUAAAACUCUGUUAUCAGGGAAGAACAAACGUGUAAGUAACUGUGCACGUCUUGACGGUACCUGAUCAGAAAGCCACGGCUAACUACGUGCCAGCAGCCGCGGUAAUACGUAGGUGGCAAGCGUUAUCCGGAAUUAUUGGGCGUAAAGCGCGCGUAGGCGGUUUUUUAA
rnacentral:rRNA from 1 species